AUGCCGUGGUGGGGGCAUGCUGCAAUGUACUCCUGGAAUCUCUCCCAAGCUUCUAGAAUAACUUCAUCCGGCAGCUGCAGAAAUCCAAAGACUCUGCUUCGGAGGGC